AGUUCCAUGGUGUAGCGGUCGGCACUCAGGACUCCGAAUCCUGCGACCCAAGUUUACAUCUCGGUAGUAUUU
rnacentral:tRNA from 1 species